rnacentral:tRNA from 1 species
UCCCGAUUCGUCUAACGGCAAGACGGCUGUUUCUGAGGCAGUCUAUCGAGGUUCGAAUCCUUGAUCGGGAA